rnacentral:rRNA from 1 species
CAGUCGCCGCGGGAAUACGUAGGUGGCAAGGGUUGUCCGGAAUUAUUGGGCGUAAAGGGCUCGCAGGCGGUUUCUUAAGUCUGAUGUGAAGGCCCCCGGCUCAACCGGGGAGGGUCAUUGGAAACUGGGAAACUUGAGUGCAGAAGAGGAGAGUGGAAUUCCACGUGUAGCGGUGAAAUGCGUAGAUAUUGGGAAGAACACCAGUGGCGAAGGCGGCUCACUGGACCGACACUGACGCUGAGGCGCGAAAGCGUGGGGAGCAAACAGGAUUAGAUACCCCAGUAGUCCCUGUCUCUUAUAA